CCUCUUAAAAAAAUUAUGGAAAACAAAUAGAACUAUAAAAAAAAAAGAAGAAGUAGUCAAGAUUUUGGGACAAUUUCUUUGAAGACUUCACAGAAAUUCAACCUUUUGAGUAGUUGGAGGGAAAUACACCCUGUAUUACAGCACCCAUUAUAUUUUCUACACCAAGAAUUUUCAGUAUGUAUUUUGACAAAAAUAAGCUGCAUUCAAAAUGGAUAGUUUUGUUAAUAUAAUUUUAAAAUCAGCACUUUUGAGAUGAUAGCAGCCAAGAAAACAGUUUGUUAGUGUUCCAUAAUGAUCCUCUUCAGAAUCUUGGGAAUGGACAGAACAGAAUGUUUUUCAUCGACCUACCAGUAUAAUCCUUUGUAGAAGAUAAAUUCUGAAGUCCCUUUUUGCUUUGUUAGUAAAAAGUGUUUAUCGUCAGAGCUGCAGGCAAGUAUUAAAGCAUAAUUUAUAAAACUAAUUUAAAAAAACAGUGCUGAAUUAUAGUAUUUAAUAUCUAGAAGCCAUUUUGAUCCAAGGAGUUAAAUGUCAAGUCACAUGCAGUACAGGAGACUUUUCCACAAGCAGGCAAGGGUGUAUGUAAUACAAACACUGCUUUUUUAAAAGACUAAAAGCACAUUCAAUGUAUGUAAAGGAAUUUAAAAUAACAAAUUGAGGCAAACAAUUACAAUGUUUUAUUUUUAGAAUAGCAGUUAACUGUAAGUAUUUUAAUGUUAGUUUGCUCAUCUAUGUUCUGAGAUCAUGCUGAGAUGAGAAAAAUGUCCCCAAACUGCAAUUUAAUGCAUUGGGAAAACAUAAUCUAAAAAUAGUAAUUCCAGCUACAGUCUUUAGAUCACCUUUGUAAUGUAUUAAUGGGUCUAUUUUUUCCUUGAAUAGCUUAAACUGAAGCAGUUUCCUCUGUUUUGAAGGUUUUGUAGUUAAUUUUAAUUUUGGCUAUUGUUUGGAAAAGAUGGGCUGUCUGUAGAUAUGAAGUAUAGUUUUUCCAUAAAACAGAUGUUUAUUUUGUAUUAAAAAUACCACUGUACUUGUUUUACAUCAUUUAUAUACAUGUGGUGAUAUUAAUGCUGAACUGUAAAAUUCAGGAAUUAAAAUGUAACCUUGUUUUAAAAAAAAGAAAG
rnacentral:lncRNA from 1 species